CUUUGCACUCGGAAGUCCGAAGGAAACCAACACAUUGUGCAUGAGCGGAACCGAGAAAAGGGCUUUCUACUCCUCGCUCUUUGGCUGAACUUUGCUAGCAGUAAUGACGAUAGAGAUAAAAUUGUGAAGAGGGGAAUUCACAGAUGUAAAGCGAUUUCUUCUGGGAAUGAAAGUACGUGACUGUACAAAACAGAGGAGAGUCUUGCAAUGAACCCAUCUAACAAAGAGCUUUACAGAUGCGUGAUCACAAAUCAUAUUGCAAACACAUCCACUAAUGAAGGGUGAAAGUCCUCUCUGCCCCCUUACGCCCUUUAAAAGGAGCAAUGAGAAAGUGCGAGUUCGAGGCACAGCUGCUGCCCGCAGGACGGUGCUACGGCACAAGACAGUGCUUGCGUAUCAGGUACGUUUCUGGACCUGCUGUAACUCAGAAAGAAGUAUUUUGAUUUUCCGUCUGGUCGUUAAACUUUGGCACAUCCUCAGCUCGCAGGUUUUAUCCCUUCCAAAUUGUGCAUGUCCUCUGUCGUCUCCUGCAGUGUUUUCGAAGGGGGUCUGAGGUCCUUUUCUGCCCCCUUCCCCACCCUGUGCACUGGCUGAUCUGGUCGUACUUUCCCAGUAUGCAGCGUGUGCCGAAGAAGAGCCGACCGAUUUCGGCCGGGAAGUGAAGGCACGGCAGAUGGUAGGCACCUGAAAAGAUGACGGCAGCAUCAUGCUCCUAGCGACACUGUUUCCAGCGGAGAGCUGCGAUUUUAAAAUCGGUGUAACGGUUGUGGCGCGAUGGCGUGGCGCACUGCUCAGUGACGCGCAGCAUGUCGUUGAGGCGCGACGCCUUUUUUUGAAAACAACGCCGGUCAGACGCGUGCGCGCUGGUCACACAGCCCAGAGGCAGGCGGUGCUCAGCUGUGGUGCGGGGUGCGCGGCGCUGCGUGCUCUGCGCGUCCCGCGCGGUUUUGCUUUGGUCUCGCAUGGGCUUGUCUGACUUUGAGAAUAGGUAGCGGGAGAUUUCCCUGGACAAUUCUGUCAUAAAUCCCUGUUUUUCCUCCUUCUGAUUCAAUGAUGAGAGCGUGCAGGGACUUGGCAG